rnacentral:rRNA from 1 species
UUAAACUGAAGAGUUUGAUCCUGGCUCAGAUUGAACGCUGGCGGAAUGCUUUACACAUGCAAGUCGAACGAUGAACCUUAGCUUGCUAAGGGGAUUAGUGGCGAACGGGUGAGUAAUAUA